GCUUACUUCUUCAGCCGAGAUACUAAAAUUGGAAUGAUACAGAGAUUAGUAGCAUGGUCCUAUGCAAGGAUGGCACAUGAAUUUGUAAAGUAUUCUGUAUUAAA